UACGAAGGGUGCAAACGUUGCUCGGAAUUAUUGGGCGUAAAGCGCACGUAGGCGGCUUUGCAAGUCGGAUGUGAAAGCCCUCGGCUCAACCGAGGAAGUGCAUCCGAAACUGCCGAGCUUGAGUACUUAAGAGGAUCGCGGAAUUCCCGGUGUAGAGGUGAAAUUCGUAGAUAUCGGGAGGAACACCAGUGGCGAAGGCGGCGAUCUGGGAAGAUACUGACGCUGAGGAGCGAAAGCAUGGGUAGCGAACAGG
rnacentral:rRNA from 1 species